rnacentral:tRNA from 1 species
AAUAAAUUACAUAUUAAUUUCGACUUAAUAAUAGAUUUUUUUUAAUCCUUAUUU